GAUGAACGCUGGCGGCGUGCCUAAUACAUGCAAGUCGAGCGAACAGAUGAGGAGCUUGCUCCUCUGACGUUAGCGGCGGACGGGGGAGUAACACGUGGAUAACCUACCUAUAAGACUGGGAUAACUUCGGGAAACCGGAGCUAAUACCGGAUAAUAUAUUGAACCGCAUGGUUCAAUAGUGAAAGACGGUUUUGCUGUCACUUAUAGAUGGAUCCGCGCCGCAUUAGCUAGUUGGUAAGGUAACGGCUUACCAAGGCAACGAUGCGUAGCCGACCUGAGAGGGUGAUCGGCCACACUGGAACUGAGACACGGUCCAGACUCCUACGGGAGGCAGCAGUAGGGAAUCUUCCGCAAUGGGCGAAAGCCUGACGGAGCAACGCCGCGUGAGUGAUGAAGGUCUUCGGAUCGUAAAACUCUGUUAUUAGGGAAGAACAAAUGUGUAAGUAACUAUGCACGUCUUGACGGUACCUAAUCAGAAAGCCACGGCUAACUACGUG
rnacentral:rRNA from 1 species